rnacentral:rRNA from 1 species
UACGGGGGGUGCGAGCGUUGUCCGGAAUCACUGGGCGUAAAGGGCGCGUAGGCGGCAAUUCAAGUCAGCUGUGAAAUCUCCGGGCUUAACUCGGAACGGUCAGCUGAUACUGCUUUGCUAGAGUACAGAAGGGGCAAUCGGAAUUCUUGGUGUAGCGGUGAAAUGCGUAGAUAUCAAGAGGAACACCUGAGGUGAAGACGGGUUGCUGGGCUGAUACUGACGCUGAGGCGCGAAAGCUAGGGUAGCAAACGGG